rnacentral:snRNA from 1 species
GUGCUCACUUUGGAAGCACAUAUACUAAAAUUGAUUAUCAUGGUCCCUGAGCAAGGAUGACAUGCAAAUUAGUGAAGUUUUCCAUAUUUUU